AAUACAUGCAAGUCGAGCGGACAGAUGGGAGCUUGCUCCCUGAUGUUAGCGGCGGACGGGUGAGUAACACGUGGGUAACCUGCCUGUAAGACUGGGAUAACUCCGGGAAACCGGGGCUAAUACCGGAUGGUUGUCUGAACCGCAUGGUUCAGACAUAAAAGGUGGCUUCGGCUACCACUUACAGAUGGACCCGCGGCGCAUUAGCUAGUUGGUGAGGUAACGGCUCACCAAGGCGACGAUGCGUAGCCGACCUGAGAGGGUGAUCGGCCACACUGGGACUGAGACACGGCCCAGACUCCUACGGGAGGCAGCAGUAGGGAAUCUUCCGCAAUGGACGAAAGUCUGACGGAGCAACGCCGCGUGAGUGAUGAAGGUUUUCGGAUCGUAAAGCUCUGUUGUUAGGGAAGAACAAGUGCCGUUCAAAUAGGGCGGCACCUUGACGGUACCUAACCAGAAAGCCACGGCUAACUACGUGCCAGCAGCCGCGGUAAUACGUAGGUGGCAAGCGUUGUCCGGAAUUAUUGGGCGUAAAGGGCUCGCAGGCGGUUUCUUAAGUCUGAUGUGAAAGCCCCCGGCUCAACCGGGGAGGGUCAUUGGAAACUGGGGAACUUGAGUGCAGAAGAGGAGAGUGGAAUUCCACGUGUAGCGGUGAAAUGCGUAGAGAUGUGGAGGAACACCAGUGGCGAAGGCGACUCUCUGGUCUGUAACUGACGCUGAGGAGCGAAAGCGUGGGGAGCGAACCGGAUUAGAUACCCUGGUAGUCAACGCCGUAAACGAUGAGUGCAAAGGGUUAGGAGGUUUCCGCCCUUUAUUGCUGCAGCAU
rnacentral:rRNA from 1 species